rnacentral:rRNA from 1 species
CUUAACACAUGCAAGUCGAGGGGCAGCAUUUCAGUUUGCUUGCAAACUGGAGAUGGCGACCGGCGCACGGGUGAGUAACACGUAUCCAACCUGCCGAUAACUCGGGGAUAGCCUUUCGAAAGAAAGAUUAAUACCCGAUGGUAUAAUCAGACCGCAUGGUCUUGUUAUUAAAGAAUUUCGGUUAUCGAUGGGGAUGCGUUCCAUUAGGCAGUUGGUGAGGUAACGGCUCACCAAACCUUCGAUGGAUAGGGGUUCUGAGAGGAAGGUCCCCCACAUUGGAACUGAGACACGGUCCAAACUCCUACGGGAGGCAGCAGUGAGGAAUAUUGGUCAAUGGGCGCAGGCCUGAACCAGCCAAGUAGCGUGAAGGAUGACUGCCCUAUGGGUUGUAAACUUCUUUUAUAUGGGAAUAAAGUUUUCCACGUGUGGAAUUUUGUAUGUACCAUAUGAAUAAGGAUCGGCUAACUCCGUGCCAGCAGCCGCGGUAAUACGGAGGAUCCGAGCGUUAUCCGGAUUUAUUGGGUUUAAAGGGAGCGUAGGUGGACAGUUAAGUCAGUUGUGAAAGUUUGCGGCUCAACCGUAAAAUUGCAGUUGAUACUGGCUGUCUUGAGUACAGUAGAGGUGGGCGGAAUUCGUGGUGUAGCGGUGAAAUGCUUAGAUAUCACGAAGAACUCCGAUUGCGAAGGCAGCUCACUGGACUGCAACUGACACUGAUGCUCGAAAGUGUGGGUAUCAAACAGGAUUAGAUACCCUGGUAGUCCACACAGUAAACGAUGAAUACUCGCUGUUUGCGAUAUACAGUAAGCGGCCAAGCGAAAGCAUUAAGUAUUCCACCUGGGGAGUACGCCGGCAACGGUGAAACUCAAAGGAAUUGACGGGGGCCCGCACAAGCGGAGGAACAUGUGGUUUAAUUCGAUGAUACGCGAGGAACCUUACCCGGGCUUAAAUUGCAUUUGAAUAUAUUGGAAACAGUAUAGCCGUAAGGCAAAUGUGAAGGUGCUGCAUGGUUGUCGUCAGCUCGUGCCGUGAGGUGUCGGCUUAAGUGCCAUAACGAGCGCAACCCUUAUCUUUAGUUACUAACAGGUCAUGCUGAGGACUCUAGAGAGACUGCCGUCGUAAGAUGUGAGGAAGGUGGGGAUGACGUCAAAUCAGCACGGCCCUUACGUCCGGGGCUACACACGUGUUACAAUGGGGGGUACAGAAGGCAGCUACCUGGUGACAGGAUGCUAAUCCCAAAAGCCUCUCUCAGUUCGGAUCGAAGUCUGCAACCCGACUUCGUGAAGCUGGAUUCGCUAGUAAUCGCGCAUCAGCCAUGGCGCGGUGAAUACGUUCCCGGGCCUUGUACACACCGCCCGUCAAGCCAUGAAAGCCGGGGGUACCUGAAGUACGUAACCGCAAGGAGCGUCCUAGGGUAAAACUGGUAAUUGGGGCUAAGUCAUAACAA